rnacentral:tRNA from 1 species
UCCUCGGUAGCUCAGUUGGCAGAGCGGGUGGCUGUUAACCACUAGGUCGUAGGUUCGAGUCCUGCCCGAGGAGCCA